rnacentral:rRNA from 1 species
AUUGAACGCUGGCGGCAUGCCUUACACAUGCAAGUCGAGCGGCAGCGCGGGGGCAACCCUGGCGGCGAGCGGCGAACGGGUGAGUAAUACAUCGGAACGUGUCCAGUAGCGGGGGAUAACCUGUCGAAAGAUAGGCUAAUACCGCAUACGACCUACGGGUGAAAGCGGGGACCGCAAGGCCUCGCACUAUUGGAGCGGCCGAUGUCGGAUUAGCUAGUUGGCGGGGUAACGGCCCACCAAGGCGACGAUCCGUAGCUGGUCUGAGAGGACGACCAGCCACACUGGAACUGAGACACGGUCCAGACUCCUACGGGAGGCAGCAGUGGGGAAUUUUGGACAAUGGGCGCAAGCCUGAUCCAGCCAUGCCGCGUGAGUGAAGAAGGCCUGGUGUAAG